UCAUUAAGAGUCUGAUGUUAUCUCCAACCAUGGGGCUUGUCGAGCCCCCAUGGCCACACUCCCACAUCUCCCCCUUCUUUAUUAACAUCAGCCAUCUUCUUGACACGAAUUAAUACUCCAUAUAUCACAACCCUCAUUUUCUAUUGAAUAUCAGU